GAUGAACGCUGGCGGCGUGCCUAAUACAUGCAAGUCGAGCGAACAGACGAGGAGCUUGCUCCUCUGACGUUAGCGGCGGACGGGUGAGUAACACGUGGAUAACCUACCUAUAAGACUGGGAUAACUUCGGGAAACCGGAGCUAAUACCGGAUAAUAUAUUGAACCGCAUGGUUCAAUAGUGAAAGACGGUUUUGCUGUCACUUAUAGAUGGAUCCGCGCCGCAUUAGCUAGUUGGUAAGGUAACGGCUUACCAAGGCAACGAUGCGUAGCCGACCUGAGAGGGUGAUCGGCCACACUGGAACUGAGACACGGUCCAGACUCCUACGGGAGGCAGCAGUAGGGAAUCUCCCGCAAUGGGCGAAAGCUUGACGGAGCAACGCCGCGUGAGUGAUGAAGGUCUUCGGAUCUUAAAACCCUGUUAUUAGGGAAGAACAAAUGUGUAAGUAACUAUGCACGUCUUGACGGUACCUAAUCAGAAAGCCACGGCUAACUACGUG
rnacentral:rRNA from 1 species